GCGGAGUUAGUCCAAGGGAGGACGCCGGGCUUCCCGCCCGGAGACGCAGGUUCAAACCCUGCACUUCGCUCCA
rnacentral:tRNA from 1 species